GCCUCGGAGCGAAAAUUCUUCAAGUUGGAGAAGAUAUUCAAGCAGAAGUGUAGUGUUAGAAAUGAUGAAAAGUUAUUAAAGGUUUCUCAAUCCUAUUUUAUCAACUACAGCUGGUCUAAUAGCAGGCCUUCUCUUCAUCUCUACCGAUAAGAUUGCUUUCUGCAGUGAGAUUAAUAAAGCUCAUAUCUCCAACAAGAAAGUUGCUUAGAAUCUACUACAAGGUAUCGAUCCCAAUAAGUAAGAUAAUGAAAGCAAAAGAAAG